rnacentral:tRNA from 1 species
CCAUUGCUCAGUUGGUAAAGCACAAAGCUCUCAACCUUGUGGAUAUGGGUUCAAGCCCCAUGAUGGG